rnacentral:rRNA from 1 species
UUACGGGAGGCAGCAGUAGGGAAUCUUAGACAAUGGGGGCAACCCUGAUCUAGCCAUGCCGCGUGUGUGAUGAAGGCCCUACAGGGUCGAUUAAAAAAUGACGCAUUGAGUCGCACAGAGAUGUUGCUGACCGUAUCUGCGUAAGCGCAUACAGCACCACCCAGAGCUGAUCUCCGAGCUCAAAGGCAUUGCCCGGGUAAUACGGAGGGGGUUAGCGUUGUUCGGAAUUACUGGGCGUAAAGCGCACGUAGCGCGGAUUAGUAAGUUAGAGGUGAAAUCCCAGGGCUCAACCCUGGAACUGCCUUUAANACUGUUAGUCUUGAGUUCGAGAGAGGUAAGUGGAAUUCCGAGUGUAGAGGUGAAAUUCGUAGAUAUUCGGAGGAACACCAGUGGCGAAGGCGGCUCACUGGCUCGAUACUGACGCUGAGGUGCNAAAGUGAGGGGAGCAAACAGGAUUAGAUACCCUGGUAGUCCACACCGUAAACGAUGAAUGCCAGACGUCAGCAAGUAUACUUGUUGGUGUCACACCUAACGGAUUAAGCAUUCCGCCUGGGGAGUACGGUCGCAAGAUUAAAANUNAAANGAAUUGACGG